rnacentral:lncRNA from 1 species
AGACAAUUGCAAAAAGGUCUGGUGAUGUCUACAUCCCUCGAGGUGUAUCUGUUCCGGCCUUGGACAAGGAUAUACUAUGGGAAUUUCAGCCUAAGAAAAUAGGUAUAAUUGUAGUCUUUUACUAUAUGACAUUUUGGACCUUGAACUUAGAAAAAUAUUGAUUACUCUGCUAUUGUAGCCUUUUACUAUAUGACAUUUUGGACCUUGAACUUAGAAAAAUAUUGAUUACUCUGCUCAUUAUCUAUAUCAUGGUGCCAGGUGAGGGAGAUCUCUUAACAGGUGGAGAUUUGUAUGCUGUAAG